GAUGAACGCUGGCGGCGUGCCUAAUACAUGCAAGUCGAGCGAACAGAUGAGGAGCUUGCUCCUCUGACGUUAGCGGCGGACGGGUGAGUAACACGUGGAUAACCUACCUAUAAGACUGGGAUAACUUCGGGAAACCGGAGCUAAUACCGGAUAAUAUAUUGAACCGUAUGGUUCAAUAGUGAAAGACGGUUUUGCUGUCACUUAUAGAUGGAUCCGCGCCGCAUUAGCUAGUUGGUAAGGUAACGGCUUACCAAGGCAACGAUGCGUAGCCGACCUGAGAGGGUGAUAGGCCACACUGGAACUGAGACACGGUCCAGACUCCUACGGGAGGCAGCAGUAGGGAAUCUUCCGCAAUGGGCGAAAGCCUGACGGAGCAACGCCGCGUGAGUGAUGAAGGUCUUCGGAUCGUAAAACUCUGUUAUUAGGGAAGAACAAAUGUGUAAGUAACUAUGCACGUCUUGACGGUACCUAAUCAGAAAGCCACGGCUAACUACGUG
rnacentral:rRNA from 1 species